GACGAACCGUGCGAACGUUAUUCGGAAUCACUGGGCUUAAAGCGCGUGUAGGCGGGCGGGAACGUCGGUCGCUGAAAUCCCCCGGCUCAACCGGGGAACGGGCGCCGAAACGACUCGCCUGGAGGGACGUAGGGGGACCUGGAACUUCCGGUGGAGCGGUGAAAUGCGUUGAGAUCGGAAGGAACGCCCGUGGCGAAAGCGAGGUCCUGGACGUCUUCUGACGCUGAGACGCGAAAGCUAGGGGA
rnacentral:rRNA from 1 species